GGGAAUAUUGGACAAUGGGCGAAAGCCUGAUCCAGCAAUGCCGCGUGUGUGAAGAAGGUCUUCGGAUUGUAAAGCACUUUCGGCGGGGACGAUGAUGACGGUACCCGCAGAAGAAGCCCCGGCUAACUUCGUGCCAGCAGCCGCGGUAAUACGAAGGGGGCUAGCGUUGCUCGGAAUGACUGGGCGUAAAGGGCGCGUAGGCGGUUCUGCAAGUUAGAUGUGAAAUUCCUGGGCUUAACCUGGGGGCUGCAUUUGAUACUGUAGGGCUUGAGUAUGGAAGAGGGUCGUGGAAUUCCCAGUGUAGAGGUGAAAUUCGUAGAUAUUGGGAAGAACACCGGUGGCGAAGGCGGCGACCUGGUCCAUAACUGACGCUGAGGCGCGAAAGCGUGGGGAGCAAACA
rnacentral:rRNA from 1 species